GCCGCUUCCUGUGGGAAGACAUUUAAAAAGUCCGAAGAAGCAAAGGCUGAAGGAAUGAAUACAGACUUCCUUAAAACAACAUGUCCAGACUGACUUCAGCCCUUCAUGUAGAAGACUCUCCCCGGUCUGAGAAGAGCAGCUAUAUUUGAAUUUGCAAUAAAAGAACUUCCUAUGUGGU